rnacentral:rRNA from 1 species
AGAGUUUGAUCCUGGCUCAGGAUGAACGCUAGCGGCAGGCUUAAUACAUGCAAGUCGUGGGGCAGCACAGGUAGCAAUACUGGGUGGCGACCGGCAAACGGGUGCGGAACACGUACGCAACCUUCCUUUAACUGGAGAAUAGCCCGGGGAAACCCGGAUUAAUACUCCGUAACAUUAUGAAGUGGCAUCACUUUAUAAUUAUAGCUCCGGCGGUUGAAGAUGGGCGUGCGUCUGAUUAGGUAGUUGGCGGGGUAACGGCCCACCAAGCCUACGAUCAGUAACUGGUGUGAGAGCACGACCAGUCACACGGGCACUGAGACACGGGCCCGACUCCUACGGGAGGCAGCAGUAAGGAAUAUUGGUCAAUGGACGCAAGUCUGAACCAGCCAUGCCGCGUGGAGGAUGAAGGUCCUCUGGAUUGUAAACUUCUUUUAUUUGGGAAGAAACCCCCGAUUUCUAUUGGGG